rnacentral:lncRNA from 1 species
CCGGCACCGACGGAGAUGGCGUCGAGGUACCGAGGAGGAAGACGACUCGGGGCAGCAUCGUAGCGGCCGUCGGCUCCAGUGCGUCGGUGUGGAGGACGUAGCGGAUGGAGACGACCUUCGUGGACACGACAGCGGGGCGGGAGGUGUCCGGUGGCCGCGGAGGAGUGAGGCGGACGGUGUUGGGCACGUCGGCAAGAGGCGGAUCUGGAGGAGGCGAGCGGCGGAUAGCGCGAGGGGAGUGGUGAGCGAGUGGGGGAUGGGAUCGAGGAGUCGGGGCAUGGCGCCCUUAUCCUCUACCGGCGCUACCGACGAGAGGGUGCGGUGGCGACCGUGGGCGCGGUCGGGUGCGCCUGAGGAACAGGGGAGGGGAGCACCUGGUGUGGGGGAGCUAGGCCGGCCAAGUGGGCUUGGCCCAGGGGAAAAGGCAGGGGCCUUAUCUCUUUUUUCUUUAUGCAUUGUUUUAUCUUUUGUUUUCUCUUUUCCUUUUAAAACCUUUCUGUUUUCUAUUUAGUUUUAUUUUAUUUUAGGUUUAUAAAAUAUGGUCUAAGCCCCUAAAUUAGAAUCAGUAAUUAGGACACUGCCACAAAUAACUUGGCACUUUAAUAAAAUAGUUUGCAUUUAUUUCUUAUUUGAAAUGCAUUUAAAUAAUUGUUUAAGCCAUUGUUUUAAUUACUUUAGGGUAUUUAACCACCUUAUAAAAAUAUGAUUUCAACAUGACAAAUAUCCAGGGAUUAUUCGACACACUUUGAACAUUUUAUUUUGAAUGUUUGGGAAAUUUGAAAACUUGAAUUUGAAUUUUAAUUGCGAUUUGGAUCAACCGAGGACUAGCAACAGUAAGAGUGGUGAUGUGGCACCAUUAACUUCGGAUUACUAUAGCUUAAUUAUCCGAGCGUCACAAUUCUCCUCCACUACAAGAAAUCUCGUCCCGAGAUUUUAGGAGGUAGAAGGAAGCAAAGCGGGGUAUUCAUCUCGAAGACGAUCCUCGAGAUCCCAAGUGACUUCCUUUUCAUAAGGACUUGACCACUAAACCUUUUAGAAAUUUGAUAGCUCUUAGACGGGCGCGACGUUCAGCUUGAAUGAGAACGCGGAUUAGAUGCUCUCUGUAAGCGAGAUCAUCGUGCAGGGGGUUGAGCUUUAUAAGUCAUGUGGUUGUUGCAAUAAGACUUGCGACUCAGGGCAUCGGCCAAGAUUAGCCUUGCCAGGGGUAUAAGAAAUACCGUAGUCAUAGUCUUUAAUAGUUUUCAUAAAUCACUGUUGACGGAGAUCCAGAUCUAGCUGAGUAAACAGAUACUUCAGACUUUAAUGAUCGGAUGAAGAUCUCGCAACGAGUAACAAGAAGGAAAUGUCGGCACAAAUUUAGUGCAAAUUUAACUGCAGCAAGUACAAGGUUGUGGACUGGGAACAACUGGAGCAUUUUCAAUUCUCACAAGAGGAGAAGCGUUUAACGCAUUCAAGGAAUAAAUCUGUGCUUUGGCAUUACGAACAAGAUGAGCAUGGUAGCUCACUAUCUGACUUGACGGAUGUAGUAGAUGCACGGUUUUAGUGGUGCAAAUGAUAGAAGCGGUAUGCGUUUUCAACCAUUCCAUUCCCAGGAUGAGGUCGAUAUUGGACGACUUCAAAACAAUGAGGGAAACAUGGAAUUCAGUCCUUCAACUUCAACGGUGACGUUGUGACUAACCCUGGGGGUUCGACGUUGGUCCGCGGAAUGCAGCUUGGAAUUCCGAUCAAGUGAUGGCGGUUCCAACAGGUAAGGAACGCCUGUGGCUGUCCCACAAUUAAGCAGCGGGACCUUUCAGGUAAUAGGCCGCGAAGGUGACAUAGUUGGUAGGGGCUACAUUAGUAGACUCCAACUCAAAAGUGAUGUCACGAAGCCAGUCAUCAGCAUCAAGGGGCUGAGUUAAGUAGCGGUAGCUGACAGGGUUGAGACGUGCAAAGUUUUGCAGAGUUACUGGGGCGGGUUGUUGAUUCAUAAUGGGGCGCGGAAAUUGAGCCAUGACUACUUCCAUGAACUCUUGAUUCAGCUUAACUGUUGUAUCAUUCUGACCAUGAACUAGGGUGAUGGUGGAUUGUCGCCACCACGGCCAUAACUAGCGGGUCUAACCAUCCUGCUUAGAUGCAACAGGGGGUAGUUUAGCAAGGGUUGGUGCAAGUGUAUGGAGUCAUUCAUGGUGUAACUUGAACAGUGAGCAAGGGUGCGGUAUGUACAAAGCAGUAGUCAUUGAAGACAUACCGAUACAUAUGUGGGGCAAAUUACACGCUGCUCGUAUGAGUUCGGAUAAGAGAAACAUCAUAGACAUACUAGGCGGCACGCAUGCACGCAAUGGAAGGCUACAACAACGGAACAUAGCAAAGGCUACAUCAGCGUCAGUGAAAACCUCUGGAGCAAGGGAUUAGCAAGUGACGAUGCAGGGUGCCCUCGAUAAGAUCCUGAGGUCAGUGAAUAAGGCAAAGCAGAACUUGACCCUCAAUUCGAGAAAGCCAUAGUACAAAUCUACGGGUGGAUGUGAUCACGAGAACCUAAUGUUAGAUAUUGCAAAAUAAUUAACCCGAAUAGAAGAGAGAUCAAAGUCCCAGAGUAUAGAAGAGGAGCAAAAGAUCCUAAUACCACCCAAUGGCGACGUGGGCCCGUAAGCCACACAUCCAUGUUAGUAAAACAAUUUUUCAAACACUAGACUCAACUUCGGCCAAGGAGUUGGAAAGGGGGAUCCUACAGGCAGUCGGCUCUGAUACCAACUUGUGGCGCCCCCAAUUCGACCGUACACUAAUCAUACACGCAAAUGUGUACGAUCAAGAUCGGGGACUCACGGGAAGAUAUCACAACACAACUCUAGAAACAAAUAAAAUAAUACAAGCUUUAUAUUACAAGCCAGGGGCCUCGAGGGCUCGAAUACAAGCUCGAUACACAAGAGUCAGCGGAAGCAACAAUAUCUGAGUACAGACAUAAGUUAAACAAGUUUUGCCUUAAGAAGGCUAGCACAAACAGCAACGAUCGAAGAGGCAAGGCCUCCUGCCUGGGACCUCCUAACUACUCCUGGUCGUCGGCGGGCUCCACGCAGUAGCAUCCAUCGACGGUGGCAUCUGGCUUCAUGGAUCCACCAUCUGGUUGCAUCAACCAGAAAGAAGAAAGAAGGGGGGGAAGGGGUAGCAAAGCAACCGUGAGUACUCAUCCAAAGUACUCGCAAGCAUCAGAUCUAUACUAAGUAUGCUUUUGUAUCAAAUGGAAGGGUUGUAUCUGUGGACUGAACUUCAGAAUGCCAGAAUAGAGGGGGAAAGCCUAGCCUAUCAAAGACUAGCAUCUUCAAAUAGCUCCAAGCAUCUUGCAGCAUGUAGAAGAGUAAAGAAUAGCAGUUUAUAAUUAACAAGCAUGUUGUAACAUUAAUGCCCAGAGAUCCUUCCUCGACUCCCUGCAAGAAAGCAAUCCCGGAGCCACAUAUCCAUCACAUAUCAAGUAUCCAUUUCUAGUUGUAUAAGAUCAGGAUACAAGUCUGAACGUCCAUUACCGAGGACACGGUAUUCGAAUAUAUAACUUCCCUGCAGGGGUGCACCACGUUACCCAACACGCUCGAUCACUCUGGCCGGACACACCUUUCUGGGGUCAAUGCCCGCCCUUGGAAGAUCAACACGUCGCAGCCCGACCUAGGCUCAGCAGAGAGGUCCCCGCCGGUCUACAUCCUAAGCACUCUGGGGUCUUGGGCCCAUCGCCCGUAGCACUCUGGGUCAUUGCGAGCAGGGUGGAUACCAGCACCGCCUCGGAUGGCCAGCACGAUCCGACCGUGCCGCACUACUGAACUGGACGUCCGACAAAGCUUCGGCUGAUACUGCGACAUCGAGGCCCAUAACUAUUGUCACAUGGUGGUUAGUGCGUAAAGGCCAAAGGCCAACUCAGAACAAAUACCCAAACCUUUUAGUGCAUUAUUAAAAGGAGUGACGGCUGUCGAGACAAGUCCGGAGCUAUCACCCCUCCUGGGUGAUACCGCUAAACAGCCAGCCGCCACUGUCACAUUGCACGGGUGCUCUCCGGGCCAGCCCGGCUUUCACAACCGUCUCAAGUGAAGUCAAGGUAACUGUGUGUCCAGACAUUAAGGGGAAAACCCGAGGAAUCACCCCCGGUGGAUUCCACUCAAUGUAAUCAUCAAGGUGAACAUAAGAGGGACCACCCUCGAGGUUCACACUUGAGGUGUUGAACGACAGAGCCGUAUCGGGAAUGGUGAAAGAGGAAAUCACCCUCGAUGACCACGGCCGAUUAGCUACACUACAGAAUUAUCAUCAGGAGUGCGUUAUGAGGGAUCACCCUCGGCACUCGAUAGUAGCUCUGCAGAGUCGAGCAACUAAAGGGGCGUGAUGUGACGUGAGGUGUCGGGCUCUGGUCGUCGAUCACGUUGAUCGAGUCGUCAAUGAUGAAGCAGGGGCAACAAGGACAAAAGGGGGUCACUGAUGGAUCACUAACCAACCUAUACUAAGCAGUUUAGGAUAAGCAGGUUGGUAACAAAAGCAGGUACAAAAGCAGGCUAUGCAUCAGAAUAGGAGCAAACAAUAACAGUAGCAAAAUCUAACGCAAGCAUGAGAGUAUAGAAUGGGUGAUAUCGGGAUCAUCAAAGAGGGGGCUUGCCUGGUUGCUCAGGCGAGAAGGAGGGGGCGUCGGUGACGUAGUCGAUCACAGCGGCAUCGGCGGCAGUCUCAGGGUCUACCGGAGAGAAGAGGGGGAAGAAACAAUAAAUACAGAGCAAACAUACGCAUGACAAGACAAUAAGCGUGCUAGAGGUGUUCUACCGCGGUGCUACGCGGUACCGUGGAAGGGGGAAAACAUCCGGGAAAGUUUUCCCGAAGUUUGCAUUUUCGGGCAGAUGAAACGGAGGGGGAAAGUUGCAUGUUCUCUAUGAUAUGGUUACGUGACAGAUGAACGGAGAGCGUAUUCGGAUUCGUCUCGUCGUUCUAAGCAACUUUCAUGUAUAAAACUUUUUCAUCCGAGUUACGGAUUAUUUUAUAUUAGUUUCUAAAGUUUAAGGAUUUUUUAAAUUUAUUUAAUUCGAAUUAUAAAUAGUGAAAUGUUUUUUUAACUCAACAGGGGGCUAGUCACACUUAAUGACAUGUGGGGUCAAGGAGCUGGGUUGACUCAGUCAACACCUUUACUAGUCAACCAAUGAACAGUGCAUUGGGCCCUACUUGUCAUUGGCACAAACUAUUAAUUAGGCUUUUAAAAAUAAGGGGCCACAUGUCAUCUGUACAUAGACAAUUCUAGCCAUUAAUUAACGCCUAAUAGUACUAAUCUAAGCAAGGGCUGGCCACAACUCCGGCCACGUGCACGACGCGCGCACACACCCAGGACACACAAGUUAGUAGGCUAAGAUUUAUUAACAUAAGAUAUCAUUUUGCGAUUUUUGUAGGAUUUGAUCUAUUCAUCAAAAGGAUUCGGUCCAGUGGUAUAAAAUGGAGUUUGUCAUGUAUACUUUCUACUCAUAUUAUUUGUACCCAUGUUAGGACUUGUCUAAUCGCUGUUUAGGGGCUGCCCGGGGUUACUCAUUGUAGAUUUAGCAAAGCUAACUACAUCUACAGUAGCUGAAUGUUUCUGUAGAAGUGUAGCAUAGCGGCAGCGGCACUACUAGCAGGCAGCGCAAGCGGUAGCGGCGACGGGCGCAGGUGGCUGCAGGAGGACGCGCGCGAGCACGCGACGCACGCACAAGGCAAGGCCGCGGCCGGAGGGGAACGACGCGCGGAGGGGUUCGCGCUGGCGAGGUACAGAGGCGGCGGAGGUGCUCGGGAGCACAGCUCCAACGACGACCUCGUGUGCAGGAUGGCGCGCUGGAGGGCGUGGGGCGUGCGGCCGGGGUACGGGCGUGCUGGCUGGAGGAGGGGGGAGGGCAGCGGGCGGCAGCACAAGGAGUAGGUGCGGGCGGUGCUUGGCAACGGCGCGGGCGCGACCAGGGGCCACCGGGAGGCGAGCGGCGAACGUGUGCAGGCCGUAGUGAGGCAGCAAGUAGCAGUAGCAGGUGCAGUAGCAUCGGGACGGCUACGCGCGUGCCGGCAGUCGGGCUGACCGCGAGCUCGGCCGAAGCUCGCACGGCAUGGAACGGUAGGGGCACGGCGGUGCACAGGUGAGCGUGCGUGAGGCCACGGCGGGGCGAGCACGGGACAGUAGCAACGACAACAGGCAGCACGGGCAACAGUGAUAGUAAGCGCACGCACGUACGCAUACGCGAGGAUUCGGGCUCGACGGAGAUGGCGGCCUACGGCGCGACAUAUGGAAAACGGAGGGGAAGAAGAGCUCACAGUGGGGGCGCACGGGGGCCCGGUGAGUGAACGGGAGCGCAGAGGCGAUCGGCACCGAUGGAGACGGUGUCGAGGUACCUAUUAGGAAGACGACUCGGGGCAGCAUCGUAGCGGCUGUCGGCUCCAGUGCGUCGGUGUGGAGGACGUAGCGGAUGGAGAUGGCCUUCGUGGACACGACAGCGGGGCGGGAGGUGUCCGGUGGCCGCGGAGGAGUGAGGCGGACGGUGUUGGGCACGUCGGCAAGGGCGGAUCUGGAGGAGGCGAGCGGCGGAUAGCGCGAGGGGAGUGGUGAACGAGUGGGGGAUGGGAUCGAGGAGUCGGGGCGUGGUGCCCUUAUCCUCUGCCGGCGCUACCGACGAGAGGGUGCGGCGGCGACCGUGGGC